AUGAAUCUUCUUAGUUGGAACUGUCGAGGAGGUGGGAAUACCCGGACAGUUCGAGAGUUGGCGACUAUAGCACAGUCGCAUUCUCCCAAUAUUGUGUUCUUAUGUGAAACUAGGCAAAAAGAAGGAAAGAUGAAGAGAAUAAGAAAUCGUUUAGGCUUGAAAGGAUUUGCUGGAGUGGAUAGCGAUGGAUUAAGUGGAGGCCUUGCCCUCUACUGGCAUGAAUCAUUUGAUGUCUUGGUUCUGGAUAAGGAAGAGAGGUACAUUGAUGUGCUGGUGCGGACUCAGGCUGAUACAGAACAAUGGCGCCUUACGUGCGUGUAUGGUGAACCCCGACUGGAAAAUAAGCACAUUAUGUGGACAAAGUUGCAGAAUUUGGCAAUAGUUAAUGAUCUUCCUUGGUUAGUAAUCGGUGACUUUAAUGAAGCCUUGUGGAGUUUUGAACAUAUGUUUGCAACACCGCGGCCGGAUGCACAGAUGUUGGCGUUUUGGGAUACAUUGGAAGUGUGCAACCUUGUGGACCUUGGCUUUUCCGGUGUUCCAUUCACGUAUAAUAACAAACGUCAUAGUGCAGCAAAUGUACAAGUUCGGUUGGACAGAGCAGUAGCGACUGCGACUUGGCGGCAUUUGUUUGCUUUCUCGUCGGUGGUGCAUGUGGUCUCGCCUUGUUCUGACCAUGUUGCGCUGCUACUCAAGGGUGAGCCGGACACGGGUCAAACAACCGUUCGGAACCGCAGAUAUGAGGUGUUCUGGGAGCGAGAUGAGGGCCUCCCAGAUGUUAUAAAAGAUGCUUGGUCCUCUGUUGGAGCUGUUUAG
rnacentral:rRNA from 1 species